rfam:Stegodyphus mimosarum contig35085, whole genome shotgun sequence.
CAAGCGGUUUUUUUUUGUAGACGAUAGAAUCAAAACCAUAGAAUAUUAUCAUAUGAAAUUUAU